CCUACGGGUGGCUGCAGUGGGGAAUAUUGGACAAUGGGGGCAACCCUGAUCCAGCCAUGCCGCGUGUGUGAAGAAGGCCCUCGGGUUGUAAAGCACUUUCAGUGAGGAAGAACGCCUGGUGGUUAAUACCCAUCAGGAAAGACAUCACUCACAGAAGAAGCACCGGCUAACUCCGUGCCAGCAGCCGCGGUAAUACGGAGGGUGCGCGCGUUACUCGGAAUUACUGGGCGUAAAGCGCGCGUAGGUGGCUUGAUAAGCCGGUUGUGAAAGCCCCGGGCUCAACCUGGGAACGGCAUCCGGAACUGUCAAGCUAGAGUGCAGGAGAGGAAGGUAGAAUUCCCGGUGUAGCGGUGAAAUGCGUAGAGAUCGGGAGGAAUACCAGUGGCGAAGGCGGCCUUCUGGACUGACACUGACACUGAGGUGCGAAAGCGUGGGUAGCAAACAGGAUUAGAUACCCCUGUAGUC
rnacentral:rRNA from 1 species